rnacentral:rRNA from 1 species
AGCUCCAAUAGCGUAUAUUAAAGUUGUUGCGGUUAAAAAGCUCGUAGUUGGAUUUCUGCUGAAGCAAACCGGUCCGCCCUCUGGGUGAGCAUCUGGCUUUAUUUUGGCAUAUGUUUGGACUUUGCAGCUGCACUUGACUGUGUGGUGUAAAGGCCAAGCCAUUUACUUUGAGGAAAUCAGAGUGUUUCAAGCAGGCAAUUGCCUUGAAUACAUUAGCAUGGAAUAAUAUGAUAUGACUGUGGUUUUAUUUUGUUGGCUUCUAGAAUUGGAGUAAUGAUUAAUAGGGAUAGUUGGGGGCAUUCAUAUUUAACUGUCAGAGGUGAAAUUCUUGGAUUUGUUAAGGAUGAACGACUGCGAAAGCAUUUGCCAAGGAUGCUU